UUUCAUCCGUCACAGACAACAAUUAGUUGUGCGUCGUGAAUCUUCACGAAAGCUUCAAUAACGCAAUCAAAGAUCAGAUAGGCGAUUAGAAAUCAGAUACGAGAUUAUCGUAUUAUGCAAUUAUUUCUGAUACAAAGUUGAAGAGUUGUGUACAACAGCAUCGAGUACUCAUUGAAUAUCGCAGAAAGUUAGAAAAUAUAUUUAUGACGAUCGUGCUUGGCCGGGUAAUUUCUUGCUACGAUGUAUGCCUUGUGGGAUUUCAGCUAUUUCUGGUGAAUAUGGUAGGCGAUAUAUUUUAAGUUGUAUCGUUCAGUCGUUUCGUUUUAAAUUGUCUCAGUUACUUACGCCUAAAGUUAUCUCUUUACAUUUUUAUUAUUUUUGUUGAAAACUUUAUUUCUUUUAUAAACGUGUGUAUGCAGUAAUCGUGAAAAUUAGCGACUACGCGAUGCCAGGACUAAAAUCUUGGCUUGGACGUUUGUAGCUGGCUACGUUAACCAGAUAGAAUGGAUACACGAUAUAUAGUGUCCGGAUAUAUCGCCACGAGCUAUUUCCACCAACUCCUGCAAUUGCUCGCACAAGGCAUGCCUCGUUGUCUGUGAUCCGUAUCGAUGUAAUUGAAUUCGAUAUUGAAUUAUUGCGCUAAGCAAAUAUAAUUUCUUCUACUCUUCAUCAUAUUGUUACGAGAUGGCCUUAAUCGGAUUAUUGAGAUUCGUGCGAUCAAAAUGAUACCAAACAUGAACAUAUUUGUCCAAGAAUUUUUAACUAAACCGAAGAAAUGUGUAAUAUUUGAUCAGGAGUAAGAAAUGACUCUGUCUUUCUCUUACCUUCGAUACGUAAUGUGUGCCAAUUUUUGGAAAGUCAACACACCCGAUAUAUAAUCGUUAAACACAGUUUCGAUCAGUGAACAUAUAUUCGGAUAUUUUAAUCACCACGUACAACAGAUGCAGUCAAUUCAAAUAUCGUACCAGCUUUUUAAUAAAUAUUCAUGGUAUGUCAAAUUAAUUAUACACAUCAAUUAUACACAAUACAUACUAUGCAAAUGUAAAUAUCAUACGGUUCCCUAUUAUUUGACUAGAUACACAAUUGGUUUAUACAUCAAACCGAGUUUUCAUAGAGAAAUGAAAAUAUUAUUAAAUAAAUAAACAUAGUUAUUUUUUUGUUUCUGAACUUGGUUAUACAUUUUCGUUCAAUAUUUUAAUUUAUACAUAAUUUUAACAUAAUUAUUAAAUCCAUGUAUUAUACACAUACAAUAUAUAUAUAAUGGCAGACAAUAGAAAGUUUAUAAAAUAAUAAAUAUAAAAAGACGCUAUAAUUUUACAAAACAGAUUUAUAUUUGAUAAGAGUAAUGAAUAAGUAUAUGAAUAAGUAUAGUACAGAAUAGACGAUUAUUACUAACACAGCAAAAGAUCUGUAGUACAGAAGGUAUUAAAAUUCAUAGUCUAUCAAUUUUAAAUUUUCCUUUAUCUGCAAUUGUAUAAUACAUAUAGUAAAACUAUAGUUUAAGAUUGCACUUUUCACGAGAAAUACACAGUUUCUCUGGAAUAUAAUUUUCUGAUUACAUAUACAUCAUCCGUACGACUGUCGUAUGAAAAAUAAUGAAUUUCGUAACUUAAAUUAUUUUCCAGUAGAAGUGAAACAGUUGCACAGUUGUUUCGUGCAUUUUACAAUAGCUAUUAUCCACAUCGGAAACAGUAUGUUGAACAGAAAUAUUUGCAUAAAAGUAAAUUUAUAAGCAAAUUGAUAUUAUAAACAAUCCAUCCAUUUUUUUUCACAAGGUGUGAAUCCUUCGUAGGAAUACAAACAGCAAUCUCACGCUUUUCCUAAUCCAUGUGCAUAAUUCAAGGCACAAUUCUUUUGAAGGUUGCAUGAGAAAAGAAAAUUUGAUUUCUUUGCUCUCAUUUCCCAUGAUUCAUGGUAUCUAGAGUUCCAUUAAACGAAUUCCAUAUUUAAAGAAGUUUGCCUAAGUGGUUCAUAAAAAAUAUAAAUCGUACGAAGGAAUAAACUAAUAGUUAAUCCUGCAUGAUAUUUACUUAUUUUACUUGUUCAUUUGUUCAAGAUCGCAUCAACCCUGCGAUUAUUAGCGACCACAACGACCGUAUACAUAAUAUCUAAUACGUAAUAUAUAACAUACAUAAUACAUAACGCAUAAUGAAUUAACGAUAUAGCAAUACGGCAGUAUAUUAGAUUGCAGAUUUUUGAGCGAAUUACAAUCAAGCAAAUAAGUAGUAGAACCUCGGUAGAAAAUUGCUUUAUCUACCAAGUAUUACAAAAAGUACUGUACCUAGGAUAUAUCAUAUAUUUUAUUAUGUUAUAUGCAUUCUGUGCAAUAUUGCAUUUUUAAAUGUCCCAUAAAUGCAUAAAAAUCAGCGGUCUAAUUGAUUAUAAGCGAAUAUAUGUAUACACGCAUGGCGGUUACUACAUAGUCGGACAAGCUCAGUUUACAAUGUUAUAUCCCAAUGUUAUCCCACGUAGCAAUGUUUUUAAGAAAGCAUAGAAUAGUUUUGCAGAGUUUUUGAUUGUUAAAAAAAAUAAUGAAACUGAAGCGAGAGAUAAAAUUCAGUCCUUUUGUGCAAGACAUUUUUGCAGUUCGAUAGACGGUCCAUUAAGAAGAUACCAUUGUGAUAGUUGCUCUUUUGCAUCGCUUCUGGUUAGAAAGCGUGAAUGUGUUACGUGGCUUUUUCGUCAAUCGACCUUAGUGUUCGAUAAUCAAUUUUUGCGCGAUCGUUUUCUUCUGUAUACUGUUUACUAGUCUGUACAGUGGUAAAUAUUUACUUCAACGUAAAUUAGAUAGAGGAAGGACACACGGGGAUAAAGGAAAAGUAGGAUGAGAGAUUGUAAAAUCAAAGCAAAUACACGUGUCGAAUGGUACGAACUUUUUGGAGUUCGGACGCAAUGCGAUUUUCCAGGAAAGUUGCGGCCGUGGCAGCGACGGUGGCGGCGGCGGGAAAUUCCCCGGGCCGAGCGAAUUGGUCUCCAUGGAAACCACCCCAAAGCCAAUCCGGGGUACAUUCGUACGUACAUUUACCCUUGUCGAGGCGCGUCUGCAACACUCCCCUUACUCCGCUCUCUCUUCAUAAACUUGCUUCCCUUUUCGCCCCUCUCGACUCUUCCGUAUUGUCCCCCUUCUCCGCAUCCCGAGCUCUCCUUCUCCCUUUCUCCCGUUAUCUGCUUCACCUCCACCAUUUUGUUCCCUUUUAUUUUAUUUUUCUCUCGCGUCUCUUUGUUCCGCUAUAAUCUUCCUACCCGAUUUCUUUUUUAUCUUCAUAACCAUCCUAUUUCUCUAUCAUUUCGUUUUAUUUUACGUUCUUUUUACGCCUCCUCUUCCUUCCUCCUUUCACUUUUCCGCGUUCACUUUCCUUCGUCGCGUUCCAAACCAAACCAGUAAGAAACGAGUCGCCUAUUUGCCAACCCCGCGAAACAAAAAACGGGGGAAAUUGAUGAAUUAUACGAGAUCAAUCAAAUCGAUCAAACGUUUUUGCGCUGAGAUCCAACAGAUUUCAAAAAGUGGAGUUACCACUUUCGCCCGUGAGCUUGAAUACUUACAUUUAUUUGAAAUUCGAUUUAUAUAUUAUUACGUAGUAAUUAAUCAUUUCAAUCCUGUAAAGCAGUAGCGAAGGUAUUAAAAUUUAUGUAAUAGGUAGCGAAUGUAAUUUAUUUUUCAAUAUUUGUCGUCAAUGCUCUUCUUACGUAAUAAAAAGUGUCUGGUAAUGAGGGAUUUCAAUCGAAUCGCUGUCCUUAGGAAGGAAAUAAUAAGAAUAAAUUUCCUUUGUUGAAAAUAUCAUAAGCAUGAUUGUAUUUUACCUCUCAUAAUAUUGAUCAUAGCUAGUAAACGUUAGAUAUUUAAGUUACAUUUCCAUUGUUAUAUAUCAAACAAUAGAAGCUAUAUAUGAAUACAAUAAAAUAACAAUUACAAUAAAAUUAAAUGUUUAUGUAUAUAUACUUUUUUGAAUUCUUACUAAUUAUAUUUUUAUUAUCAUCUUUUAAUAUUUUCCUUUUGCUGCAAUAACAUUCGCAUAUUCUUCCAGCUUUUUUAUUUUCUUUUGUCACUCAAUAACAUUUAUGUUUUUGCGUUUCAGAUCAACUUUCUUUUAGCUAUUUCUUUCGUGUAGCAUUUUGCAAUUCUCUUUCUCAUUUCACAGUAUCUAACAUGUUCUUCUUUACUUCUUUUUCGUCAGUUUCUGACGUUAGAGACGCCACGUCAGCGACGACGCCAGCGGCGCGGCGCGCGUCGUCCAGCAGAUUGCCUGGCACGAUGCAGCCUUAUAGACGCCGCGUCGUUGCGUGUCUGAUUGCUCGAGGCCCUGCGUUUAAUCGAACAGUGACGCCGAAGAGGGCUUCUAUGACAUUUGAUAAGCUCCUUUUCUUUCUCUAUCUACACUUUUGUCCUGUUCUUACCUCUACGCAAAUAUUCUUUACGCAUUUGACAAUUAUUGACAGAAAGAUCUCGUUUUAUUAGCUUCGUUGCCAUAUUGCUUCUUUAAAAUUGACAGAAACAAUUAACGAUAGAAGGAGGAGAUGAGUUGCCAUUAGUAGAAAAGCACAUAAUUAAUCGCGUACAUAUUCGGACACGGCACUAUCUGUCUUGCCGCGUAUAAGAAGUGAUUUUUAAACAUCGUGUUGAGGUCCUUUUCUUUGUACGAGUAUUUCCUAUAAUGAUACCUUCUCGUAUCGUCUUGUACCGAAUAACAUUUUACGUUACGAAUAAUAACGGUUACGAAUAAUUGUACAAUUUUGCGAUAAAUGUUUCCCCUUGUCUUUAUAAUAAUGGAUAUACAGUGGCCCAACUGAAUAUUAAACUGAAAAGUAACGCGAGCGUUGAAAUACUUUCGCGAACCUCAUAAGACGCUAUGUAGAUACAAAGUCCUUAAGUACCAAUCCCGUAUACGUUGACAGAUUUUCUUUUAAUAUUCACUAUACAUUCUUUAGAACUUGUUUCUUCGUUUAAUCACAAUCCAGGUUUCAGAACUUAAGAUUAACGUGUGUUGUUUGUUUGUUAGCAGUUUAGAGCGUAAACGUUCGAAUACUUUCGUAAGCGGCUGUAUAUAAGUGUACAUGAAAGAAGCAUAAAUCCUCCAGCUGUCUACCUCAACGCGUCAGCUACCGCUGCUGUGCUCGUUUCCCUGGUCCUUCUUUCCCCAAUGGGAGGAGGUAACCGUCCAGGACAGUGCGUCAUCGGACUGUCGACCUGGUACGAUACAGCUUCUGGCUGUGUGGUCCGCGGUAUCGUAGGGAUAACAUCGCACGGUGCUAUCUGCUGGUAGAUUGGUCAUGUGCUAUUUGCCGAAUGUGAUUCUCCAGAAAUCAGUGGCAUUGGAAGAGACGAGGCGGUAGCAGUCCCAGCCUUGCGAAACCAGCCCACGAGUAUCCUUUCUGACCUGCGACUAGUUAUCAAAGUACUCUUCGUUUACACAGAUGCCGAGCUAGGUAAGAUAGAAUUUCGAUGGGAACCAGAUCUCCUUCAUAUGCACCUUCUCGAUCGCGUAGUUCGCUUUUUACGCCUCAUACGAGCCCAGAUUCAGUAGAAUUGGGUAUCCAGUCGUGGCUCUUAAAGGACUUCGAUUACACUAAGCUCCACUAGGUCAAUAUUGCUCCUGGCAGCAGCUAAAUAGUGUGAUAAUGCGAGUGACAGUGCGAGUAUGCGACGUUGUAAUCUUCAUCGAUAUCGAGGAUCUCCGCCGUUGUUAGAACUGCGAUUAUUGUAAUAAACAUAUUUAAAAAUCACCGAAACCGAGAACGUCAGUUUUCUGAAUAAUUGAUGGUUAAUUUUCUUUUUACAUACAAGUGACAUGGAUUUAAUUCGACCGAAUAAGUUGUUGCGAAUUCUCAACUAAUCAGUCAGGUUGCAACUGAUCGGUUAAUAUCGCGAAUCUUGAACCAGAUUAACGCUCAAGGUGAAGGUAAAUUAAAGAUGUUGAGUAGUCGUAUGUUUAGGUUAUUUAUUUGCACUGUUUAGUAUACACAAAGAGAAUCACUAGCAUGUUAAGAUACAGAAUAGUGUUAUGUUUUAGUCGAUACGGCUUAGUAUAAUAAGAAGAGUAUGACGCUCUGAUGAAUGUUGCAAGACUUUGUUCAUACCGCUCUCUCAAGAAGCUUCGUCUGGUCCUUAUAUAUUACUUUUCCGUCCCCGGUUUUCCUUCUUACCACGGGUUUUAUGGGAUGGGAAUCUAUUACUUCAAAUCUUAUAAUUCUGUACUCUCGUGGGCGCUUAUCCUCUGGUAUUGUUGAUUGAUACCAGUUGUUUACGUUAGACCUGACCGAUCGGGCACUUAGGGCACUUAUUAAUUAGCCUCUUGAUGAGGUUCGCAUGUAAAGUUUACAAUUUGGAAGGUAGGAAAUUUGGACUUUUCCAGAAAAGACUGAUGUGCUGUUUCAGUCAUAAACGAACGGCCACUUCAAAUCCCGAACAUAAGUAAACUUUACAAGAAGAAAAAAAAAUGAAAAAGAAAGAAAGAAAAUGGAGAUAUUAGAGAACAAUUCAAUCGUAAAGAAAAACGAUCAACGUUUAAUAAACGAAACACGCGGUACUGGUGCGUUGCUAGAAAUAACAAAUGUUUGCUUUCUCUGUGUUUUAUUUUCGUUGCUAUCGCUCCUGCGUUUAUUUCCUGGUGAAACAGUUCUAACGAACCGGAGAUGAUAGGUUCUCGAGAGUGCUUAACUUUUCAGUUUUAAAACAUUAACCAACAUCUCGAGGGAGUCGUAUGUGCAAAGCCCAUGAAAGUGCAUUAUGAUCAGCCUCCAUUAAUGGUUUCCCAUCGAUCCUAGUAUUGUACAUACACCAUAUAGCUAUGCACAGCACGUUAAUUUUGUUUGCACUUAAUGUAAUUUUGUCCAUGUUAAACUCACCUAUAUACAUGUAAAUAAAGCGAUGACAAUCACUCGAUAUUAUCGCUUCUGAUAUAAUCAGUAUAAUUGUAGUUGUAUUUAUGCUCUGCCCAUCGAUUUCCAUCCAUUGGAUCGAGUGAUAAGUUUGUUUAUUCUUCAAAAAUUAUUUAUAAAAGGGAAAGAUACACGUAUCAGAGUAUUUUCACGAAAAACUACGCCUGCGCGACUUGAUUUCGGCCCGACAGACAUUGGCAUCUAAACGAAUUAUUACAAUUAAUUAUAAUUACGUUCAACGACACGAUAAGUUGUAUAAAGUUACCAUGGAAUAACAUUUAUAAGCAUGUAAAUUGGCACACUGAUGAUCAACCAAUGGUUGAACUAAAUCACAGAAAACACUUAUGAAUUAAAAAAAGUUGUUUCUGUCGUAUUCCAGUUUAGCGACAAAGUAACGCGUGAGCACCGAACUUUAAAGUCACUUGAAAACACAUAACUAUGAAGACACCGUUAUUCGCUAAUCCAUCGUUGUACGGUCAAGACCCGACAAUGGGCUGGACUCCGACCGAUUCAAGCUCCGUUAUGUGCAUGGAAUUGUAGUAGGGAGGCUUCCUUGAAGUUCCAAACGAUACAUAAAAGACAUAAAAGACUAGAAAAAUAAUUCUGAGGGUUGUAACUUAUCCGUUUUGCAUAUAUCGGAUGAUUACGUUAUGGGGCACUUGAUCGGAUAAACGAGACCAAGCUCCACCUGCAUAGAUCGGAUAACUGGACCGCCAGACAGGCGCCAUCGCCUGCAUCCUGUUUAUCACGGUUGCCAGAAGUACGGACAGCAGAGAGGGGUUUUGACGUAGCAAACAAUAACAGAGGGAGAACAGACUAGUUCUUACCGAGGAGUCGGCGUCGAUUGGCGUUAGCGUCGGUUGGUGACUCCACGCUUUCAAAGCACGAAGCGAAUCACGCAUAUCAACAGCAAGUGCAUAGGUAAACGCUUGUUGAUUGCGAGGUGACAAUAAUUUUGUAUAGUUUUGUCAAAUUUUGAAAUUCCGAUAUAAAUAAGGAAUCAGGCAGUGAUGGCGUGCCGGUACAGCUGAAAGAAGCUUUGCUAUAGAAAAUGAGUCAAGGACAGCGGUAGUAGUAUGCUGUUUCCUGCUACAAGGAAAGUUCCUAAAAAGCAGGCAUUCCGUAAUGACCAAUAUGAAACUAGGGGUACAGCUUGCAGCGGUAUCCUCGUAGCAGAUGGAUGUGAGCUGCUGAAGCACAAUAAAAGAAUGACCUAUUUAGUAAAUGUAUGGGCAAGAAGUCUGAAAGAGGUAAGACAUGGAGCAGAAGGUUCAACAACCUGUUCUUUGGAGAACAAUGUAAAGAAAGCGGAAUUGAGAGUUUCCACGAACGUUGUUGAGCACAGCAGAAGUUUCUAUUUAUUCGGACAUUUUUCCAUUUCAUAUUCAACAUUGAGAAAUCAACAAUAGUGUAAAAUAUUUGACUCAAAAGAAACGAAACAUCUGCUCUCAUUACAAAAUGUUAUUAACAAAUGUAUAGUUUUAGAAAUAUUACGAAACAUAACUUUCUCCGCAUUGAUAGAUGAAAGAGACACGUCGGAAGUCAAAAGUAAAAAAGGCUAUGUAGGAAAACUUGUACAAAUGUUUUCUACAUUCUUUAAUAAUAAACUAAUGAUUUAAUUGCUAAAGAAAAAUACUAAAUUCAAACGCCAGUUUUACAGCGAUCACUCCUAACAACACCCCCAUAUAUAUAGUAUACGUAUAAUAUAGUAUACGUAUAAUAUAUAGUAUAAUGUAUAGUAAUCAGAUAAUACUAUGCCAUUCUUAUAGCAUUGGAAGCUGUUAAAAAGCACUAUAAAACAGCUGUCGUAUUUAGCAACUCACUAGCAACGAUACUCGUAAUAACUAGCAAUAACCAAAGUUAUAACAAAAUAAGAGACAUACUCGAAUUAUACACGGAUCUAUCAGCAGCAAAUUACUAUAGCAUGAAUUCCAGUCCAUCAAGGAAUAUCGAGUAACGAAGCUGCAGACAACGUAGUCAAAGAAGCGGUAAAUAUCCAACCUUCGACCACAUCAACGUCACGUCAAGAUUUUAAAAGAAGCAUACAGCACACGUCAAACAAGCGUGGAAGCACAAGUGGAACGUUGAAAAAUCGAUUAGAUCGAGCAACAGCCCGAACAAUUUUCUUCAUGACGUGAUAGGAAGAUCCUUCAAUGGCAGAAACCGAAUAAUUCUAAACAGGAUCCACAUUGACCAUGUUGAGGUUGAGGUUGACUGAUUGCAGAACGAGUGGAUGAAUUUGUAAUAGAAAGGUAUAUUGAAAUAAUUAAAGGUAUAAGUAUAAGUUUAUGUUGAUUCAGAUCCUCGCUCUCUUAGUGUUACGAUACAAUGGAAUCGAUAGGGAGCACGUUCAUAUAUUUAUAGCGAAAGGGCAUUACCAAAAAUGUUAACCUUAUAGCUUUAGCUAGAGGCUACAAGGAACAUAAAUAGACAUCUGUUUACUAGUUCCUUUGUUCCUAGACCUUGCAACCCAAAACAUAAUGUAUAUUCAAGGGUAUAAUGUAUAUUUCUGCGUAACAGCAGUCUCCAGGACACGGUAUACAUAAACAAAGACGUAGAGUUUUUCUUGAAGCAGUUACUUCAACAGGCCAUACCAGACGCUCUUACAAAUUCCUCCUCACCUGAAAGGGAAUACCUUUGCCUCACUGAAACACAUGUCAAUGUUCUUCGACUCUUAAAUACAUAUCGAUCUUUCGUAAAAAAACAGAAACCUUACGAAAUCAGGCUAAACUUCUCCAAUCAGUAAAGGAACGUUUUGUACGAAGAUUGUUAAGAACCUUCUCAAAUUUAUCCAAAGCAAUAAAUAGGUUCUACGAUCUUAUCUAAGUACUACCAAUCGGCAGAUCGAUAAUGGCCCAGAUGUCGGUAGGACGUUGAUCUUUUAAAUAAAAAAAAGGCAUACUAAAUUGAAGUGGAUGGAGAAAGAAGAACGAGCCCUUGACAAAUCGCCUUAACAACAGAACCUACACUGGCAAUAGGAUUAUCAUUAUGGUCCUAUUGCAUCAUCGAUCGCCGAUCGAACGAUUCUGUCGGUGAUCGCUAGCGGAAUUCGUUUUGGCCUGGAGCUGUUACAAAAUUGUAAUAAAAACUUAUAAUUAUCCUUUUUCCUCAUUUCUCUUGAAUGUGGCGUAACUGACUAUUUUAUGAAUCUUUCGACCUCGGUGAGAGAGCGCAGUGGAUGACUAAUUACAUUCACCGUGUUACCGUGAUAAAUAGUUUUGCGGAAUUAAUGCGAUAACCGAAGUACUGUCAAAUUAUUUCCAAACAAUAGCGAAAAGAUAACGCUGGUUUGGUUGCAAUCGUAUCAUUGGUAUGCAGACGCAGAAUUCAUGCGGCGCACCGUGUUGAAAAUGAACUGAAUAUACCGGAUUCUGAAAUUUUCGUAAUAGAAUCCGUAUAAAGGAUGUAACUCACACGGGAGUUGAUGGUGUCGGACGCGUAAUUAUUUAGGCGUUAAUUGAAAGUGGAAAUUAUAACACGAUUUACUUGUGCGCUUCUAUUAAAUCCAAUAAUAUCGUAUGUACGUAAUGUUUUAAGCGAGUGGUAUUUCAUUUUCAAAUAUGAAGCGUAGUUCUUUAUCGAAUAAGACUCAUCUGUAUCUUUAAUACAAUUUGCAAAACAUUAGUUUCCACUUUCAUUCGCUGUUAAACAAAGAAAAAGUAAAAUCCACGUUAAAACGUUCAUUAUUGAUCGAAUUGGCAUUAUCUGUAAUAACAAAUAAUCUUUAUACUGAAUCUAUUUCUGUAUAAAUAUAUUGUCAAGCUUUACAUAUUAUAUUUAUAUGAAUUAUCAUGGAAGACGCUUUUAGAAUUUUCUUUUAGAUUUAUAAAUUAUGUCUCGCACUUAAAUCAUCAUCGUAAUUAUCAUCCACGCGUCGUAUAGAUAUUUUAAAAGUUCGCACUGAAGGGCCAACGCGGGUUUCAGAUGUACACAGUGAACGUGUUAAGAUACACAUACAUCGUCACAUGUAUGUAUUUCCGAUGGAAAGUGGAUUUCAUGAGUACAUAAGUGCACAACAGCUUUGAAAUCGUUCUACGUUUCAUCGAUAAUAUCAAUUAUUUAUAACAGAUACACACAAUUAAAAUUAUAAUUCUGUAAAUUUAUAUAUGUAUGUACUCGGAUAAUUAAAAUUGCAUACAAGUUACGUAUGUAUGUAGAAAUGUUAAAUUAUUAGUUUGUAGGUAACAGUAUGAUUUAUACAAUAUCGUUUGCACUCAUACGAAAUCGAAUAUAAUACCUCGU